rnacentral:rRNA from 1 species
AGGAUUAACGCUGGCGGCGUGCCUAACACAUGCAAGUCGAACGAGGUAGCAAUACCUAGUGGCAGACGGGUGAGUAACGCGUGGUCAACCUACCGUUGAGUGGGGGAUAACUAGCCGAAAGGUUAGCUAAUACCGCAUACGAGUUUCGGGGGCAUCCCUGGAUCUUAAAAGGAGCAAUCCGCUCGAUGACGGGACCGCGUCCCAUUAGCUAGAUGGUGGGGUAACGGCCUACCAUGGCACCGAUGGGUAGCUGGUUUGAGAGAGCGACCAGCCACACUGGGACUGAGAAACGGCCCAGACUCCUACGGGAGGCAGCAGUAGGGAAUCUUGCGCAAUGGGCGAAAGCCUGACGCAGCCAUGCCGCGUGAAUGAUGAAGGUCUUAGGAUUGUAAAAUUCUUUCAGCGGGGACGAUAAUGACGGUACCCGCAGAAGAAGCCCCGGCUAACUUCGUGCCAGCAGCCGAC